UGGGCAACCUGCCUUACACAGGGGGAUAACACUUAGAAAUAGGUGCUAAUACCGCAUAAGCGCACAGCUUUGCAUGAAGCAGUGUGAAAAACUCCGGUGGUGUAAGAUGGACCCGCGUCUGAUUAGCUGGUUGGCAGGGUAAAGGCCUACCAAGGCGACGAUCAGUAGCCGGCCUGAGAGGGUGAACGGCCACAUUGGGACUGAGACACGGCCCAGACUCCUACGGGAGGCAGCAG
rnacentral:rRNA from 1 species